rnacentral:rRNA from 1 species
AACGAACGCUGGCGGCAUGCCUAACACAUGCAAGUCGAACGAGACCUUCGGGUCUAGUGGCGCACGGGUGCGUAACGCGUGGGAACCUGCCCUUAGGUUCGGAAUAACUCCCCGAAAGGGGUGCUAAUACCGGAUAAUGUCUUCGGACCAAAGAUUUAUCGCCUUUGGAUGGGCCCGCGUUGGAUUAGCUAGUUGGUAGGGUAAAAGCCUACCAAGGCGACGAUCCAUAGCUGGUCUGAGAGGAUGAUCAGCCACACUGGGACUGAGACACGGCCCAGACUCCUACGGGAGGCAGCAGUGGGGAAUAUUGGACAAUGGGCGAAAGCAUGAUCCAGCAAGGCCGCGUGAGUGAUGAAGGCCUUAGGGUUGUAAAGCUCUUUUACCCGGGAUGAUAAUGACAGUACCGGGAGAAUAAGCUCCGGCUAACUCCGU